GCGCCGGGUGAUGAUGGGGCCCAGAGAUGCGUCCAGAGAGAGGGGCGGGGCUGGGAAGCAAGCUUGGGAAGGGCCACAACUCCGGAAGAGAGAGGGCCGCUGUAGGCCAUGAAGAAAGAGCAGGGCAGAGAGGACACAGAAGGCCAGGCUGGGCUCCUGUGACUGAAGGCUGCCCAGAGAAGCCGGCUAGACCUCAGGGAACCUCGGAGCAAAUUCACCAUUUCCAGAAGGACCUUUAACCCAGUAGUCUCUUUGCGGGCUGGGGCUUUAGCCAGGCAUCAAGACUUGGACCGCAAGGAGUUUCUGCAGGGCAGUUCACAGGAUGUGAAGCAGUGUGACCACAGGUGAUCCUCAGGAGGGCUCUCUCAGGCAUUCUGACUGGGCCCCACUGGUUCUUGCACUGGCACUUCCUUCCACUCCAUUGGGAGGGACCUCCAACCAAAUGCUAGAAAGAGGCAACCCAAUUUUCCUUUCCUGCUGGCUCCCUUUGCUUCUACCUGGGG